rnacentral:lncRNA from 1 species
UUUUUUUUUUGUUCAAAUGUUAGGUUGAGUUGAUUUAAAUAAUUGUCUUGUCACGAGACGGAAAUGUUGAAGUUCAGUUUGUUUUGUAUGUCUCUGAUUUGUAAAACUGAUUACGCUCAGGCAAUAAUGGCAGAAGGAAAACAACAUGCUCUUGCUAUUGGCUUCACAAAAAUGUCAGCAAAAGAAAUGUAAGUUAUUUUCUUAUUCGAAGGACAUUAUCGUUGCUUCUCCUAGAGUAAUGCCUUGGGUACCCUUAGAAUAUUGAGGACAAGAUAUAUAAUACGAGAGCCUAACUUGCAUUACCGACCUCAAAUCUAGCUUAGUUAUCUGUUGCUGAUUGUCGUAUUUACAAAGUUGAGUCUUCCCCUUGGUUUGCAGAAGAGAUAUCAACAAGGGAAUCGGAGUUGACAACAUGCAUUAUCUUAACGAUGGUCUUUGGAAGGUACGUCAGUGUCUACUUUGUAUUUAUGGCCAUUGCCAGUGUUUUAACUAGUGUUUCGUUGUUAAAUCUUUCGCCUUGCUAUGCAGAUGGAACAUCUAGAUUGAAGAUACUCAAGACUAUCCGUGGUAUCAUCAACAAGAAAUGAAGAACACAUGUUAGUUUCAUCGAUGUGGUCUUGACUUUACUGUUUUUCGGAGUGUUAGGUCCGAGCUUUACAAGUCACGAGUAUACCCUAACCGUAUUUACAUGUUUUGUAUUUGUACGUGGAGUGAUCAUCUUUAUCAAAUUCAUCGUAAGAUGGUCAUAUCCAUUUUGUGAUACAAUUUAGAGGUAUUUUUCUUAUAUGAUGUAAGAGGUGAAUUCCCAACUCCCAAGCAUAUGUUUUGACAUCUUUUCCAGUGAACUAUAUGUCUUUGCGAAGAUAAAUGAACGAAAUUAUGAUUUCCUCUUAGACAGCUGCGUAAUCUUUGAAAUUUCAUCGUGAUGUUGGUCUUCAACGAGGAAUUCCUAGUAAGCGCGAGUCAUCAGCUCGUGUUGACUACGUUCCUGCCCUUUGUACACACCACCCCUCGUACCGAUUGAAUGGUCCGGAAAAGUGUUCGGAUCGCGGCGACGAUCGAUUGCUUGAGAAGAAUGCAAGUGAGGAAAUGCUAAAACUAGCACAUUUCGGUGCUCGCAGAAUAGCAAAGGGGCAACAAACUUUUUAAAACUAAACGUUUUCCGUACUAGAAAUACAUCUUUUACUUGUUUUUCCUACUUCUCGAACUAUCAGGAGAUUUCUGGCUGAUCUUGGCUUCAAAUUUCCUGAUUCGUAGAGCGGCUACAUUGUGGCUCUGGCUACGUCUUUAUCGUUUGCUGCAUAUUGACAUGAACAAAGAAAAGAUCAACAGCGAAGCGAAAAACGAUCCAAGUUAGCAACACUGCAAAAUCUCAUUAUGGCAAUCGAAAUGUGGCGGCAGAAGAAGGGCAUACCUUACAGACAAUAGGCCGGCUGUAAGAACCAAUCCUCCGACGGCCCAAGAAACUCGUUCACUAAAUGGCAUGUCCCUCCACCUCUGCUGGAAUUCAGCCUCAAGCUCUCAGCUUUCUGGAGCACCUCAGAAGGUGAAGCCUUCCAUGAAUCAGCAAUCAAGUCAAGACUGGCUUUACCAACAACAACAACAACAACAAAGCCUUUUCCCACUAAGUGGGGUCGGCUCAAGACUGGCUUUACCGCAGUAGCAAAAUGCUUCUUCGUUGCUCACGGAUGCAUCAUCUUUAACAGCAAAUCCUGCCGCAUGGCAGAACUCUGUGCCAUUAAGAAUCCAUUCCGAGGCCCUGCCGCAAACAUAAUCACUUACUCCACAUGGUGCUAGAACCUGGAAGAAGGUAAUUAAUCAGAAAAUGCAAUUCCCUAAUGCACCCAAAAGAGAUCAGUUUAAUCACCUAUUUAUUUGGUUAUGUCAAAUUAUAAGUCGGUAAAAAAAAUUCCUCGACUGGAAGUUAAAGGUCUCCCACAUACCUGUGUUAUUGCAUCUGUCGAGUAGUAAGCCUCAGCACAAGCCUCAAAAACCCUGUCACAGAAAGAGGCACAUAUAGCUGGAGGUCCUGACUGCACGCCAAUGCAGGGAUCACAGAUGGAACAUUCCAGUAAUUCCCACAAAUGCAAGCACUCUGGGCCAGCUUCCCCUGAUGAAGCCAACUUCCUAACGGAUACCAGUGCAGGCUGUGUCUGGGCUACAUCACAGCAAGUUUUUUGCGGAACACUCUGCAAAGGGUCAGAUCUUUGGGUCCCUUACUCAGAUGUUUUGGAGGUUUUCCCUCGGAAGACAAUGGUGGGAAACGACCGCCUUGAGAAAUGCAUACACUGUCAGGUUUACCUACAACUAAAACAGAUGUAGAUAACGUUUAAUGACCAACUAGCGUACAUGCAAAAAUCAUUUGAAAACCAUGUAAAAACUUCUUUACAUAGGAAUUGAAUUUCUCCAAAAUAAUUUGUUAACUUAAGACUCUUGAAGAUGAUUGCCACUGCGAAACGGAAAAGCCUAAAGUAUUGCCCCACAAGAAAUGCAAUUACGUUCUUGCUUGGGAUUCUUGGGAAGAACCAGAAUUUCUUCUGGUUGCCUUUAAGUUAAAGAGAUAAACCAUGCUUACAUGCAUAAAUCAGAUUACAAGAGCAACACCGAUACGAGGCCAAAUCCAGAAAGCAGAUGCCAUUCUGCUGAUUUAAGGAAACAACAAGCAGAUUGCGUCCAAUUUCCACACCGCUAUGAAAAAUGAACAAUGACCAUGCACUCGUAAGAUGUGAUAAGGCAGUCGGGGCACGCCAAAGACACCUUAUGUCAGCUUCAAAAAAAGAGCAAGCCCCUUCAUGGCUUGUCAACCAGAGACAUAAUUAACAUAGACCUCCACACAAGAUUCUAAAAGACGCUAGCUGUUAGUUGAACGGCAAGCUGGGGCCUAGCACCUAGGUGGCUAGGCGGGCCUAGACGGGCGCCUAGAUGAACAAGACGGAUUUAAGUAAAUCUAUUAUAUUUCGUGUAAAUAAGCGUCUGUUUAUACUUAAAAAAUAUAUAAUUUCAUUAUAAACUACAAAAUAGAAUGACAUAUAUAUUAGGAAGUAUUGGAACAUAAUGAAAACAUGGGGAACAAGCAUAUAAUGGGUAUUCGUUUAAGUAUUCAACAAGUAUCUUACAAUUUAUUAAAAAAAUAAAAUACAAAAUGAAAGUUAUCUAUUUUUUAACCAAAUAAGUCACAACUUAGACAGGUGCCUAGGUGGUCUAGGUGGUCUAGGCGGACGCCUCAACAGGUCUAGACGCUCUUUCUUAAUUUUCAAAGGCUUAAACAUUAAUCAAGGUAGUGACCAACCGCCUAGCACCUAGGUGGGGAUUUUUGGAACAGUGCCUCCACGUCAAACUGAUUCUAGCCUACCUCAACUUCCCUCAACCGAAUAUGUUACAUCCGCAAUGCGGAACUAUAGCUCAUACAAACCUUAUGUUUUGGCACACUGGAGACAGAAGUCUAACCUAGUGUGAGAAAAUGGAAAUCUCACUGUUGCAAUUCUCAUGUCAGAGCAGAUAUCCAGUGAUGUCUGCAUACAGUAGACUGAAACUGUACCGAUCAAGUGCAAAAAGAUGGGACUUUCUGAAUCCUAUCUGGAUUUUUUUUUUUUUUUUUUGAACAUCUAUCUGGAUUUUGACUAAUUCUACAAUCCAAAAAAUAAAAUAAAAAUACAAAUCCAUGAUGUCAUUGUUCUCCUAAAAAACUGAUCGUUUUCGAUGGCUGCAAAGUUGGGACACUACGAAAUCGACUCCAAAACUGUUCGCUGAUUAAUUUCAACACAAAGGUCCCGAAAAUCAAACAAUUAGGAUCUGAAAACAAACAAGAAAAAUGAUAUUAUAUAUAUAUAUAUAUAUAUAUAUAUAUAUAUAUAUAUCUGUGUGUGUGUAUUUAUGUACGUAUUUACCAGUUAAAGAGGGGACGAGUGUAUUGAGAAGGAGCAGCAGGAUCAGAGACGCGCAACCCAUUUUUCAUCACUCGGUGGUUUCUUAGUUCUCAAAAAUUUUAAUUUUAAUUGAAAAAUGACAAAUAAAGUUGUAAGUGAAUAGUACAAAAAAAGAUAAAAAUAUGGUUUUUCAUAAAAAAAAAAUAAAUGGUACCAAAAGUGUUUCGUUAAAACUCACAAACAAAAUCCGAUCCGGUGAGAACGGUGGCUGUGGUGGGUACCCGGUGACCCAAUGUACCACAGGUCUCAGGUCUGCGGUGAUGGACCCAAACUUCUAACUGGGUCGGAAGGGAAACAUGGACUCAGGUUGGAGGCCCAUAUAUGUUGCCCUUUCGUUUCUAUACUUAUUUUUACAUAUUUCUAUAAACAUCCACAUAAAUUUCUAAUAUUUCUAAUUUAUUCCUGCUUAAAAUAGAGAAAUAAAAAUUGGCACCAUUCCAAACCCUUUCUGUUUUUUGGUCAAGGAGGAAUUUUAUAACAAAGUCCAAACGGACGCAGUAGAAAGAUAACAGCUUCAUAAUUGAGGUAGGUACAAAUGAGACGUCACUUGUACAUUCAUCGCAUGAGUAAAGGUUCUCAAUUAUACCUAAAGCAUACAAAAAAAUUACAAGAGAUAUGGCUCGGCCCAAAAGCCGAAGUCCACCCGAAGAGGCCCAAAAGUGACCCCUCCGAAAAAAUCUAAUAACCCUAAAACGAGAAUCACCCACCGCCUCAACCGCCUCACCAUUCCAAACCCUUCUUGAUUCUUAUUCUCCUUCUUUCGCCUUCUCUUAAUUCUUCUCCAAACACAGAUUUGCCAUUGGGCUCCACUGCAUCUGGAAUUGACAGUGCACUGUGCACUGCAACAGUGGCUCAGAAAAGGACGACGCCGUUUCCCAAAUUCUCAGUCAAGCACCGCCUGAAAUCCUUAUGGCCCUAGAGCACCAAGAGGAGGUGGCGGACCCACAUACCAUGGGAUGGCUCUCGUAUGAGGGGUAUACUUAGGGAAUAAAUUUAAUUUAAAUAAUUGAAUAUGCAACGGAAAAAUAAUAAAUAACAUACAAUAUGUUAUUCCAAUAUGCUAAAAAUGUCUCUAUAAUCUUAUCAAAUAGUGCUAAUAGCAUUUUAACAACUACACAACACCAAAGUGCGUCGAAGUGAGGCACCUGAUGAGCCUAAAAACAGAGGUGGAUGGUUUAAGGGUUGCGAUGGAAAGCAAUAUUGGAGCAAAAAAGGGGCAUAAAAACCCAAAUUUUGAGACGAAAGGUCAAGAAAACCAAAAUACAAGGGGUCUAAGUAAAAUACAGAGAAGCUAAGGAGACAAAGGAGAAGGAAAAGUAGUUGGAAUUGGCCAGAGAAGGGGGUUGCCAUCGACCCCCACCCAAAGUAGGUGUUGGUGGCAUUGUCUUCAUGAUUCAGCGUGUCCGUGUUUGUCUUAUCCAUUUUGCUUUAAUGUCUUUGUGUUUUUUAAAACUUCCAUGUUAUGUAUCAUUGAGGGCUUCAAAAAGAAAAAUAAAGAACGGUUAGAUCUUUCAUGUUGCGUUCUAAUUAUCUUUGCAAUGAUUAAAUUUUUUAUAAAACUCCUACUUGAAUGGUAUGUACUAUUGCAGUCGAACUUUUAUUAGUAUUUAAUAUAACAGGAUAGUGUUAUUUACACAUCUGUUUUACCCACACGCAUUUGUUAAUUUUGAACCAUCAAAUUUCUUCAAUUCAUUCGAUUAGACGGUUGGAUAUUGACCUCUCGUUGAUUUCUGUUCUUUGAUAUUUUUCAAUUCAUCUUAUCAGACAUCCGAAAAUUAAAAAAAUGUGUGAAUAUCACACCCCUAAUAAAAAAUGGUGGAUAGCACUACCCUAAUAAGGUUAGUGGAGUGUCAACUUCAUCUCUCGUAUUUUUCCACUCUUCAAAGUGAAGAUAUAUGAAUCUCAUCAUAUAGAUAAGAUUCUGUUAUAAGCUUAUCGUCAUAUCAAUGCUAGGUUAGGUUAGCGGCAGCGGCAUGGUCCCUUUUGGCCCAUACGUCCGUACACAGCUCCGUUAACUUAUCACGGAUGGGCAUUAGGAUAAGUUCUACUAGAUACCAGAAUCCCAGAUGGAAAAUUUAUCUCGUGUUCUCUGUACAAGUUAUACUAACGAGAGCAUCUUUCAACAAUCCAGAUGGAUAAGCAAUAACGGAGUUGUACCAACGGAAAUUUCAAUCGACGUUAGAUUCAUAUCCAUGUUUCUGGCAUCAAGUUAGGGUCUCGGAAAAUAGGGUCCCCUCUGGCAAUGGCCGGAUCGACAUAGAGAUUCGGAUGAUACCAAUAACCUCCGACAGUCCGACUGCCCGAAAAAUACAUGCGAAGGUCUUUCGAGGACUAUCCAAAUGUAUGACACAGACUCAUUAAUAGUAUGAUGAAAUGCCUUCCAAAAAUAUCUUGACAACAUUUGGCUAGACAUGUCAACCAUGCCUAGCCUGAGAUCUCAACAGCACUCGACAAGUUUUUUUGGCUUUGUUAAUACAACGCAAUAACGAUCGGUCCACUAAAUGCUCGACAAAUUUUUACGUGUUACGCGCACAUUAGUUUCUUUUUGUGUGCAUAUUUUUUAAAAUUUUAUUUGUGUUUGUACCCAUGUGUAUGUCAUCAUGUAACAUUGUAUAUUUAAUCAAUGAUAGAAAAAUUACAUAUGGUAUAUUUAUGUUUUAUGCCUAACUUUUGUAUCAUAUAUUUAUAUUUUUAGUUUGUACCCACUUUUAAUUUGCAACAUUUUUUAAAAAAAUUUGUAGUAUUUUCUUUUUAAUUUUAUUUUGUACCCAUGUAUUAAUUUCUUUUAGUGCCUAUAUUUUUUAAGUACCAAUUUUUUUAACACUAUGAAUACAUUCUUUUGUCAUUUAUUAUUUCUUAUUUUUACAUAGUUUUUAUCCAUUUAUUCAAUUAAAAUGUUUGAAUUUUUUUAUUGUAACCGUUUCUAAUAGUAUUAUAACGAAGAAUUUAAAAUUUAUAGGAUAAUAAAUUUCAUAAAAUAUCAAACAAUUAAUAUCAAAACUAUAAAAAAUAUAAAUAUUAAUUGUAAUAUAAUGAGGUGUACAAAGUCAAUAAACUUUAAUUAAACUUUGAAUACCAUUAAAAUUUUAGUCAAAGAAUGUUAAGGAUUAAAAACCGCAUCCAAAAUAUCCCUUAAUUGUAUGACGAAAUGCCUUCCAAAAAUAUCUUGACAACAUAUCUUGACAACAUUUGGCUAGACGUAUCAACCAUGCCCACCCUGAGAUCUCUCGACAGCACUCUGACAAGUUUCUUUGGCUUUGUUAAUAUAAUUCAAUAACGAUCGGUCCACCAAAUGCUCGACAAAUUUUUGCGUAGCCGCGCACAUUAUUCAUCUAAAUAGAACCUGAAUGUUUUAGGCUGAAAUUCUUAAUCCUGAAUCCGCCAGCCAUACGUCCACACUUACAACUACGACGAAUAGCGCCCAUGGAUAAGAUAUCUUUCUACAAACGAGAAGUAUUGACACAAGCACCAGAUUAUAUAGAUCCAGUACCACAUCAUAAUACAUUACACAUGCACGAACUAAUAUGCAGUUUUAUUAUUCAAAAUACAACAGCAGGAACUUGUAAGGGAAAAUUAAACACUCUCUUUACAAAUAACAGCAGAGAUUAUGCAGAUUUAGCAACAUGGAAACCCUAGCAACUCGGAACGAACACACCCAAACCCUAGCAACAGCGGAGAUUCAACCACUAUACUUAUAUAGUCGCACAUGCACUAGAUUGAAACUCAGAACAAACAACACCCAAAACCCUACGUGGAAACCCUAGACAGUUUCUUUUUUCCUUCCAGCCAUGGCUAAACCGUCCACAGAAAAC